GCAGGAUAUAUUUUUUGAUUGUUUGCAGUCUAUCUGUUUGAAGGUUGUUCAGCAUUUGGUUGUAAUUUUGUUCUUUUUAUGAGAGAAGGUGAGCUCCAGUCCUUCUACUCUGCUAUCUUAAUCCUGUCUCUAAAUGAUCUCUCUACAUUUAUCUUUUGACAUUGUUUAAACAACUGCCAGAAAAAAUUUCAGAAGUGAAGUUGUUGAGUAAAAGGUGUACUUUUUACAUUUUGCAAAAUAUUUCCAAUUUGCUACCCAAGGAGUUUGCUCCAUAAUGUGGCUCUGUGAAAGUUAUAUGACAAUGCUGUCUUCUUAUACCUUUGCUAACUAUGUAUUAUCAAUCUCUUUCAUCUUGAAAAAUUUAAAUAGGUUAAAUGUUUUUUUUACUUUACUUUUUAUAGAGCCAAAAUUUUUGAGUAGGCUUCAAGGAGUUCCCAUUGUGGCACAGUGGAAGAGAAUGCAACCAGUAUCCAUGAGGAUGCAGUUGGGUUCUUUAACCACUGAGCCAGAAGGGAACUCCUCUAAUGCAUUCUUAAUCUCAUUUAUUGAGUUCUUCAGCUCCAGAAUUUCUGUUUGGGUCUUUUUUUAGAGUUUUGAUCUCUUUGGUAAGAGAUCAAAGAAAUCUCUUUUAUUCAUUAAUUUUAUUCUUGAGUUCAUUGAAUUGCCUUUCCAAUUUCUCUUGUAGCUCCUUGAGUUUCUUCAUAAUAGUUAUUUUGAAUUCUCUAUCAGAUUGCUAUUGCUGUGAUUUUAAGUUUGGUUUCUGAAGAACUGUUAUUAUCUUUUUGUGACACUAUGUUACUAUGUCUUAUUUGUGACACUCUGGGUUUUCAUGGUGCUUGAUGAAUUGUUCCUCUGCUGGCGUACCUGAAGUAGCAAACACCUCUCUUCCUUUGGUAAAGCUUUUUUAACUUGAUUCUAACAAUUCAACGGAUUGAUAGAGACCUUUUGUUUGUUUGUUUUUCAGUAGGUGGCACUACAGCACAAAGUUUUGGUUUCUUUUACCUGCGCUGUCUUC
rnacentral:lncRNA from 1 species